GCUCGUAGUUGGAUUUCGGGCGUGGAGGUUCGGUCCGCCGUUUCGGUGUGCACUGUCUUUCUGCGUCUUUCUGUCGGGGACGCGCUUCUGGCCUUAAUUGGCUGGGACGUGGAUUCGACGAGGUUACUUUGAAAAAAUUAGAGUGUUCAAAGCAAGCUAAAGCUCUGAAUACAUUAGCAUGGAAUAACGCGAGAGGACUCGGUCCUUAUUUUGUUGGUCUUCAAGGAUGGAGUAAUGAUUAAGAGGGACAGUUGGGGGCAUUCGUAUUUCAUUGCUAGAGGUGAAAUUCUUGGAUUUAUGAAAGACGAACUUCUGCGAAAGCAUUUGCCAAGGAUGUUUUCAUUGAUCAAGAACGAAAGUUGGGGGCUCGAAGAUGAUCAGAUACCAUCCUAGUCUCAACCAUAAACGAUGCCGACUAGGGAUUGGCAGGUGUUACAUCGAUGACUCUGCCAGCACCUUAUGAGAAAUCAAAGUUUUUGGGUUCCGGGGGGAGUAUGGUCGCAAGGCUGAAACUUAAAGGAAUUGACGGAAGGGCACCACCAGGAGUGGAGCCUGCGGCUUAAUUUGACUCAACACGGGGAAACUUACCAGGUCCAGACAUAGUAAGGAUUGACAGAUUGAGAGCUCUUUCUUGAUUCUAUGGGUGGUGGUGCAUGGCCGUUCUUAGU
rnacentral:rRNA from 1 species